rnacentral:rRNA from 1 species
UACAGAGGGUGCGCGCGUUAAUCGGAAUUACUGGGCGUAAAGCGUGCGUAGACGGUCAUGUAAGUCGGGUGUGAAAGCCCCGGGCUCAACCUGGGAAUUGCAUUCGAGACUGCAUGGCUAGGAUGCGGAAGAGGGAAGCGGAAUUUCCGGUGUAGCGGUGAAAUGCUUAGAUAUGACAUAGAACACCAAUUGCGAAGGCAGCUUACUACACAAUUAUUGACGCUGAGGCACGAAAGCGUGGGGAUCAAACAGG